rfam:Schistosoma curassoni strain Dakar, Senegal genome assembly, scaffold: SCTD_scaffold0001582
AUCUAGCUGACGAGUCUCAAAAUAGGACGAAUCCCGCUUCCUGGAU